rnacentral:rRNA from 1 species
UACGUAGGCAGCAAGCGUUGUUCGGAGUUACUGGGCGUAAAGGGUGUGUAGGCGGUUCUUUAAGUUUGGUGUGAAAUCUCCCGGCUCAACUGGGAGGGUGCGCCGAAUACUGAGGGACUAGAGUACGGGAGAGGAAAGUGGAAUUCCUGGUGUAGCGGUGAAAUGCGUAGAUAUCAGGAGGAACACCGGUGGUGUAGACGGCUUUCUGGACCGACACUGACGCUGAGACACGAAAGCGUGGGGAGCAAACAGG